rnacentral:rRNA from 1 species
GAUGAACGCUAGCUACAGGCUUAACACAUGCAAGUCGAGGGGAAACGACAUCGAAAGCUUGCUUUUGAUGGGCGUCGACCGGCGCACGGGUGAGUAACGCGUAUCCAACCUGCCCACCACUUGGGGAUAACCUUGCGAAAGUAAGACUAAUACCCAAUGACGUCUCUAGAAGACAUCUGAAGGAGAUUAAAGAUUUAUCGGUGAUGGAUGGGGAUGCGUCUGAUUAGCUUGUUGGCGGGGUAACGGCCCACCAAGGCGACGAUCAGUAGGGGGUCUGGGCGGAAGGUCCCCCACAUUGGAACUGAGACACGGUCCAAACUCCUACGGGAGGCAGCAGUGAGGAAUAUUGGUCAAUGGACGAGAGUCUGAACCAGCCAAGUAGCGUGCAGGAUGACGGCCCUAUGGGUUGUAAACUGCUUUUAUAAGGGAAUAAAGUGAGUCUCGUGAGACUUUUUGCAUGUACCUUAUGAAUAAGGACCGGCUAAUUCCGUGCCAGCCGCCGCCGUAA